GCUGAAGCUAAGGGUGCCAUUAUGGAGGAGUGGGGCAUCAGGCACAAGGUGACUUGUCUUCUAACUGAUGCAGCUUCCAACAUGCUUGCAUGUGGCAGGGAGCUGCAUUUGAAACAAGCCAUCUGCAUAGCUCAUGCCAUCAACCUGAUGGCAAAGAAAUCCUUGGAUGACACCCCUGGACUUGAGCAGCUGCGUACAAGUGCCAGAAGAAUUGUAACACUUUUUUGGUCUAGUACCACUGCUAAGGAAAGUCUAGCCCAGAUGCAGCAAUGCAUGGGAAGACCACAGCGUAAGCUGCUGAAGGAGGUGGAGACAUGGUGGAACAGCACCU
ensembl:lncRNA